UCCUAUACUAAAAGGGAUAUAUGAGGAGUAGGGAGGCUGUCCACGUCCUCAAUUAAAUCAACCAAUGAGGAGUUUCUGUUUUGCCACGUCAGACACGCUAUCUCCUGAAGCGGGUCUCUGCUUUUUCUCUUCGUCUUCUCCGUCGUCUUUGUUUCCUUCGAUCGCCGUUCUGGUUUACUAACAAUCAAUCCCCUCCCCUGCAAUCAAUCCCCUCACCAUUUCUAUACACUAUUUGAUCUCAUUAAUGGAUCCUUUUGGCUUUCCCAAUCUGAGAUUCUAUAUAGAUCUCGCACUCCACCUCUUAUCUUCACCAAAACGUAUUCCCUCCUCAAGAUUAUACUAUACCAAAACCUAUCACGAGUUCAUACUUCAUCAGAGUCUCCACGUCAGCCAGUUGCCUUUUUUCUUACUCUCACGCGCCUCCUCUAGCGAACGAGCGAGGUAAUCUCCAGUCACCGGAGAAGGAAUCCGAGGCGAACGCCGCUAUUUGGAGAAGGAUAAAGGACAGAGCUCGAUUGAGAGGAUCGUUCUCCGUCUAUGGAACUUAGGAUUAGCAGCUUCUGACGACGACGAGGAGGACGAUGCGGAGGAUAACGACGAGGAGGAUGUGAAGAAGCCGGUGACUGGAGAAGAGAGGUUAGGCGAUUUGCUGAAGAGAGAGUGGGUGAGGCCUGAUGUGAUACUCGCUGAGGGAGAAGAGAGUGAUGAUGAGGAGGACGAUGAUGUGUUGUUGCCGUAGGAGAAGAACGAGGAAGAACAGGUGGCGGAGAGGAAUGAAGGAGAUGGAGGAUUGUCGGCGGUGAAGAAGAGGAGAGCUAGAGCUCCGUCGUUGGCGGAGCUUACGAUUGAGGAUUCUGAGCUAUGGAGGCUGAGGAGAGACGGGAUGUAUCUGAGGGUGAGGAUUAAUAUACCUAAAGCUGGCCUCACGCAGGCGGUGAUGGAGAAGAUUCAUGAUACUUGGAGGAAAGAGGAGCUUGUGAGGCUUAAGUUCCAUGAGGUGCUUGCUCGUGAUAUGAAGACCGGCUCAUGAGAUUGUUGAGCGUCGAACUGGUGGAAUGGUGAUAUGGAGAGCAGGAAGUGUAAUGGUGGUUUACCGUGGACGUGACUAUCAAGGACCUUCUGCAGUCUUUAAUCAAAUGGCCAGACCUGAAGAAACACUAUCAAGGACCUUCAGCGGGAAGUGUGCUGGUGUAUUCUUAUGUAACAGUAGAUGAUUUGAUGCGUUUCUUUAGUGUCAUUUCAUGAUAUCUUUAGAUAUGAAGAUAGGUUGGUUGAUGUUCUUGAAAACAUGGCGUUUUAAGGUGUAUUGGUUUGAGUUUUUGCAGCUGAUGAGAGAAGAUGAGGCAACCCUUGGUAAAAUAACUAAGCCUAGGCGUCCCAGGACUGUUGUUCUGUGUCCCACCAGAGAACUCUCUAAGCAGGAUGACCAUAUAUAACACUAGAGAUCAUGAGGCAUAUGCCUGAGCAUCCCAACGUUGUUACCUUGAAGGAGACUUAUGAGGAUGAGCAUGCUGUGCAUUUGGGUAUGGAGCUUUGUGAAGGUGUUGAGUUGUUUGAUAGGAUUGUGGCGAGAGGGCAUUACACUGAGAGAGCUGCUGCUGUUGUCACUAAGACCAUCAUGGCAGUUGUUCAGGUUCGUCACGGUUUUGCUCUUUGUUUAUCUCCAGAUUGGUCUAUAGAUGUUCUAUGUCUUAGUUUAAGCUCGUGUGCUGCUCCUUCUUCCUCUUCCCUUGCCGUAAAAUCCUUCAAAGGUUUCCAUUUGGACCUGUUUUUGAUUGUCCUUAAUGCUAUGCUACACUAGGAUUAGGCCACUUAAUCUCUUUGCUGCAGUCAGAAAAUGGAAAUUGUGGGUUCAUGCCAUGUAUAUACAGAGUUUGGGUGAUGUUCGCAUUUGAUGAUUCUGAUUCUGAUUUGAUUUGUGUUUUAAUUGAUAAAGACAGUUGCUUGCUCUU